UGAGUGCGAGCUGCUACGGCAGCGAAGUUGGUGAUGUCAUGCUUCCAAGAAAAGCCCUAUACCCGUUAAGGCAUCAUGGCCUGUACCCGAAACCGACACAGGUGGGGUGGUAGAGAAUACCGAGGGGCGCGAGGUAACUCUCUCUAAGGAACUCGGCAAAAUGGCCCCGUAACUUCGGGAGAAGGGGUGCCACCGCAAGGUGGUCGCAGUGAAGAGGCCCAGGCGACUGUUUACCAAAAACACAGGUCUCCGCUAAGUCGCAAGACGAUGUAUGGGGGCUGACGCCUGCCCAGUGCCGGAAGGUUAAGGAAGCUGGUCAGCGCAAGCGAAGCUAGCGACUGAAGCCCCGGUGAACGGCGGCCGUAACGAUAACGGUCCUAAGGUAGCGAAAUUCCUUGUCGGGUAAGUUCCGACCCGCACGAAAGGCGUAACGAUCUGGGCGCUGUCUCGGAGAGAGGCUCGGCGAAAUAGAGUUGUCUGUGAAGAUGCGGACUACGUGCACCCGGACAGAAAGACCCUAUGAAGCUUUACUGUAGCUUGGUAUUGUGCCCGGGCUCGCAAUGCGCAGGAUAGGUGGGAGGCUUUGAUCAUCGGCUUGCGGGUCGAUGUGAGCCAACGGUGAGAUACCACUCUUUGCGAGCUAGGGUUCUAACGGCCACCCGUAAUCCGGGGGCCGGACAGUACCUGGUGGGCAGUUUGACUGGGGCGGUCGCCUCCUAAAAGGUAACGGAGGCGCGCAAAGGUUUGCUCAGGCUGGUUGGAAAUCAGCCGACGAGUGUAAAAAGCAGAAGCAAGCUUGACUGUGAGACCAACAAGUCGAACAGGGAGGAAACUCGGCUUUAGUGAUCCGACGGUUCUGAGUGGAAGGGCCGUCGCUCAACGGAUAAAAGUUACUCUAAGGAUAACAGGCUGAUCUCCCCCAAGAGUUCACAUCGACGGGGAGGUUUGGCACCUCGAUGUCGGCUCAUCGCAACCUGGGGCUGAAGUCGGUCCCAAGGGUUGGGCUGUUCGCCCAUUAAAGCGGUACGCGAGCUGGGUUCAGAACGUCGUGAGACAGUUCGGUCCAUAUCCGGUGCACGCGCAGGAAUAUUGAGAGGAUUUCUCCCUAGUACGAGAGGACCGGGAGGAACGCACCUCUGGUGUACCAGUUAUCGUGCCAACGGUAAACGCUGGGUAGCCAUGUGCGGAGUGGAUAACCGCUGAAAGCAUCUAAGUGGGAAGCCCACCUCAAGAUGAGUAUUCCCAUGGCGUAAGCCAGUAAGGUCACGGGAAGAACACCCGUUGAUAGGCUCUAUGUGGAAGCGCAGUAAUGCGUGAAGCAGAGGAGUACUAAUAGACCGAGGGCUUGACC
rnacentral:rRNA from 1 species